GCACACACUUCUCUCUCUCUCUCUCUCUGCCUCCUUUCGGAUUCAAAUCUCAGAUCUAGCUCAACCAUGGCGUUGCUCGUCGAGAAGACCUCAAGUGGCCGUGAAUACAAGGUCAAAGACAUGUCUCAAGCCGAUUUCGGUCGUCUCGAACUCGAGCUCGCCGAAGUUGAGAUGCCUGGACUCAUGGCUUGUCGUACCGAAUUCGGACCUUCUCAGCCAUUCAAAGGCGCUAGAAUCACCGGAUCUCUUCACAUGACCAUCCAAACCGCCGUACUCAUCGAAACCCUAACUGCUCUCGGUGCUGAAGUCAGAUGGUGUUCCUGCAACAUCUUUUCCACUCAAGACCACGCCGCCGCAGCCAUCGCUCGUGACUCCGCCGCUGUUUUCGCCUGGAAAGGUGAGACUCUUCAGGAGUACUGGUGGUGUACCGAGCGUGCUCUAGAUUGGGGUCCAGGUGGUGGUCCUGAUCUGAUUGUUGAUGAUGGUGGUGACGCUACUCUUUUGAUUCAUGAGGGUGUUAAAGCUGAGGAGAUCUUUGAGAAGACUGGUCAAGUUCCUGAUCCUACUUCUACUGAUAACCCUGAGUUUCAGAUCGUGUUGUCUAUUAUCAAGGAAGGUCUUCAAGUUGAUCCUAAGAAGUACCACAAGAUGAAGGAGAGACUUGUUGGUGUCUCUGAGGAAACUACCACUGGUGUUAAGAGGCUUUACCAGAUGCAGCAAAAUGGAACUCUUUUGUUCCCUGCCAUUAACGUUAACGACUCUGUCACCAAGAGCAA
rnacentral:sRNA from 1 species